rnacentral:lncRNA from 1 species
UUUUUGUUUGUUUGUUUGUUUGUUUGUUUUUUGGUCCUUUCCUAACAAAAGGGAGUCAUUUCCUUCCAUGAAAUGUUUUCAUCUUCUUGAAGAGUUCCUGUCUCAAAGUCUACUACAAACGGGGGACUUCAUUUUUGGGAGAGAAAAAUUGGUAAAAAUUGUGUAAAAUGCUCCAAUGUUUCUUAAAUUUUAAAAUUCCUUUUAAAAUUAUUCUGAAAUUCCUUAUAAAAUUAUUCUAAAAUUUCUUAUAAAAUUAUUCUUCCUCCUAGCAAGAAUCAAGUAGGACCUAAAUGGAAGAUAAAGAUAAAAAGGAAAAUCAGGAAAUCAACCACAAGCAGUACUAUCAGUGAAAGUGUCCGUGGGAAAUGGGUUGUAGGCACACCUGUUGGAUGAGUGCUGGUGCCUUGAGAUGCAAGGUAUUCUUUGGGUCUGGUCCACUGGUAUGUUUCUGAGCAGCAAAGAGCUAAAGGGAUAAAUCUUUUCCCACAGGCUUUCCUAAAUGAGGAAGGGCAAAAAUACAGUGAUUAUCUAAGCAGUGCUGCCCCCUGCUGGUAGCAGUUAUAUAACCCUGCAAAUGGAAGUUUUCCUCUGUCCCAGUUUCUAGGACCUGCUAGGAAAUGUUUUGAGCUCUAAAGCGCUCAGAGACCAUCCAGGUCACACUGCCUUGCCCACCCCACCCCUUGUGCACGGUGGACUCUUCGGUCAGCAUUUAAAGGGGGAAGUGACUUGUUCAUUUAUCACAGCUUUCAUUUGGGUCUCCUUCUACAGCACCUCACCACAUGGAACACCCCCUUUCCAGAAUUCACAGUUCCAAAGUACACAGUGCUUACUGUCACUGUGCUGUUUGUACCUUCUUUUAAAAAUAUAGUCCGGCGCUCAAUGGUGCAACUUCUCUUCAAAUCUGAGCCAUUUAACUAGACGAGUCAGACUUCUCCUUAAACACCGAAAUAUGAUUCCUGGGAUGGGUGUGAUAUUUCUGAUUCUCUACAGCUCUUUCAUGAAAUAAAUAUGAUAGAAAAAGUUAGUUACUGUUCUAUAGUUCAGUUUCUGGGGAAAGGAUUCCUUCAUAACUAGAGCUAGAGUUUUAGGAUGGCAUUAAAUAGAGUUGGUAUUUACAGAGCCAGGAGGUUCCAACCAUCUUUCUCAAUAUUCAUGUAUUUGGCUAAGUUUUAUUUAGAUUUUAUUAAUAUUUGAAUCAAAUAUAAUUCAGGUGAUCAAAAAUUAUGUGUAAAAUUUUAUGGCCAAAGUUUAUUGGAAAAUUCAGAAUCUCACAGCAGCCUCGUGGGGUAAUUAAGCUAAAAUUUCGACUGGCUAGUUUAUUCUUUUGGUGCCUGUACACACUUAGGUUAACUCCUUUGGUUACUAGUUUUAGGAUUGUGUGCAUGUUAUAUUCAUAGAGAUGUUACCCAUACAUGGAGAGCUUUAAUGCUUCCAUAUCUAGUAAGAUAUUUUUUAAGAAUUAUAAUGUAAUGACAACUGGGUAGCUUCUGUGGUGGAUCUUCUUAAUGUCUUUUACCGAGAGCCGAGUCUCACACCUUGAGAUGCCUUAAUCCUCUCUUUACUGUAGAAUAGUAACUAACUCUUAAAGUCUCAUCCCAAAUAUGAUACUUACAAGAGGUUUUCUGUGAUGCAUCCCAUCUGACUUUAGUCCCUCUCCUCUUGAUAGUACCUUGGUAUCUAUGCUCUCAGUUCGUGACAUGUGUUUGCAGUGAAAGUGACUUUCUCUGUGUGUGUGUGUGUGUGCGCGUGCACGUAUGCACACAUGUAUUGUGUGCUGUUGUAGAUUGAACUAAGCUGUAUGCUUCCUGAAGGCAGGUGCUGGGUCUUUUAUUUCUUUGAUAUUGUUCAGAAGUGCCUGCUAUAGAGUGUGAAGAAAAGGGAACCCUCCUACACUGUGGGAAUAUAAAUUAGUACAACCCCUAAGGAGAACUGCAUGAAGGUUCCUUAAAAAACUAAAAAUAGCACACCAUAUGAUCCAGCAAUCCCACUCCUCGGCAUAUAUCCAGAGAAAACCAUAAUUCAAAAAGAUACAUGUACCCCAAGGAUCAUUGCAGUACUACUCACAAUAGCCAAGACAGGAAGCAACCGAAAUGUCCAUCAACAGAGGAAUGGAUAAAGAAGAUGCGUUACAUAUAUACAAUGGAAUAUUACUUAGCCAUAAAAAGAACAAAAUAAUGCCAUUUGCAGCAACAUGGAUGGGCCUAGAGAUUAUUAUACUAAGUGAAGUAAGUCAGAGAGAGAAAGACAAAUAUCACAUGAUACAUACCACUUAUAUGUGGAAUCUAAAAAAUGAUACAAAUGAACUUAUUUAAAACACAGAAAUAGACUCACAGACUUUGAAAACAAAGUUAUGGUUACCAAAGUGGAAAUGAGGUGGGGAGAGAUAAAUUGGGAGUUUGGGAUUGACAUAUACACACUUUUAUAUACAUAAAAGAGAUAACCAACAAGGACCUACCGUGUAGCACAUGAAACUCUACUCAAUAUUCUAUAAUAACCCAUAUGGGAAAAGAAUCUGAAAAAGAAUGAACACACACACACACACACAUAUCUGAAUCACUUUGCUGUACACUUGAAAUUAAUCAAAUAUUGUAAAUCACCUACACGCCGAUAUAAAACAAAAAUUAAAUUGAAAAAGAAGUGCCUGCUCAAAGCUUCUUUUGUCCUAGGAACUCAAAUGAUGUUGACCAAUGUAUCUGGCCUGUCUGAGAAAACUGAUUAUAGGAAAAACCUCAGCAAGGUACCGCAUCUUGCUCCUCUUAACAAAUGUGUCUGUUUCUCCCAAGAUGCUGUCCGCUUAUCCUGCAGCCUGCCUGUUUUCUAGUCACUACCCAUUAGCAUAAUUACCGUCUUCAGGCUUUGCCCUUUAUUGAUCCUGGUAGUUAAGGCAGUUUACAGUCAGGAGCUGUGCUGACAGAAGGUACAAAUACAUGCACUGGGACCUCUCAGAGAGUUUUGUCCCUUUUCUUGGUCUUCGGGAUUGCUUUUGUCUGCUUUUGUUUUAGAGUGUACUUUCCUUCUUAUCAUUUCCCCCAAAUUUGCUGCGGCAGAAAUUCUGUAGAUCACUUAACCCAGGGAUAGAGAGCUGUGGGAAGAUGCUGAUGAUGAAAGUUUGGUUGCAAGACAGACUAAUGUGAGAUCAACCUGUCAAAAUAAGCAUAAAGCUGUAUAAAUAAUCAGCGAGGUAUUUAUCAAACGUCAUGGCAGCACCAUAUGGAGGGUUAUUCAAGGUUUUUUAGUUAAUAGAAAGGGUUGAGGCUGGAGUCCCUGGAUUCUGAAAAGCCUCUCCCCACGAUGCUAUUAAAGAAAUGAACUAACAGCAAGAAAGCUGGCAAAAGACCAGCCUGUAUCCUGAGACAUAGUCAGAAAAAUGCAUUCUCCAGCCUCUAGAAACUAGCGGUAUGCAGAGGCAUCGCCUGACAUAAAGAAGACUGUUUCUAAUUUAUGUAAGCGGUGCGCCAAGCCAAGGAAUUUAUUAUAUGUUAUUAAAUUAUUUAAUAGUGAAUACGUAGCUCGUGCACAUUUGUAUGCGUGGAAAUAAGCAUCCAGGACCAAGAUGGUCGAUCAGAGAGGGUGGGUCACGUAAGGAAACUGUCUUGGGAGAAAAUAAGACUAGAGCCUCCGAGGUGCUAAGUAGACAGAUCCUGUCUGAGGCUGAAGCCAGCACACCUGGGCAGAGCUGGAGAGCCUGAGGGAGGAAGGCGGUCUGAUGCCAUCGUUUGAGCUACAGAAUUAAAACAUUUUGAAGUCGCUUUAUUGGCCACUUUUCAGUUACAGUAAAUCCUCCCUCCUUUUUGUUUUUGUUUUUUGUUUUUUGGCUUAAUCCAGGUUGACCUGGGUGUUCUCUUACUCUCACUCAAAUGGUCCCAACCAAGUUACCUGGCAUCUGAGCUUCUGCGCCUGACUGAGCGACUUUUGGGGUCAGAGCUGCUAUCAGCUGGCCCCUCUUAUUGCAUGAAUAUGGCUCAAAACAGUACAAAGAAAAUGUGGGAAAAAGCCCCCUCGUCACUACGUGCUACAAUAUAAUAUGUCACAACUACAAAAUGUUGUAGUCACACGGAUUGUGGUCUCUGGCAGAGCGGGUCGUCCUGUGGCAUACACAGUGAGCUGAGAUUUUUUCAGGGAAGUGUGAAAUUGAAUUGGAUCAUUUAAAUAUUACGGAUACAGGUCAAAGCUGUUUUUGCAAAUAUCAGCCAUUCUUUCUUCAUGCUAGUCCCAAAGGACACACUACGUGACUCUACGCGACAGAUACUUUUAAGAAAGGAUGGCUCAGCAGGUUAAGAACCCGACAUAAUGUCUGUGAGGAUGCAUGUUCCAUCCCUGGCCUUGCUCAGUGGGUUAAGGAUCCGGCUUUGUCUCAAGCUGCGACAGAGGUUGCAGAUGCUGCUCGGUUCUGGCGUUGCUGCGGCUGUGGCUUAGGCCGGCAGCUGUAGCUCUGGUUCUGCCCCUAGCCUGGGAACAUCCAUAUGCUGCAGGUGCAGAUGUAAAAAGAGAGGAAAAAAAAAAAAAAAAAGAAAUGAAAGCUUUAGAAACAUCACUUCACACUAAGAAAAACAUGGGACAUUUUAAGCUCACUGCUGGUGAAAAUAUUUCUAUGAUUUCCGUGUUGGGACUCUUGUGCAGGUGCACACAGGAAAUUUUUUUCUCCUUUAAGGAGAACAGGCAAGGACCUUCCCAGUGGGAUGGUUCUGGGUGGAAGGAGUUACUCGUAGGCCAGGUUGGAGCUUAUAUUGAAAGCCACUGGUGAAAAACCCAGCCCAGGACAGUCAUGACCCUGAGUGAUUGCCAUCUGUUGAUGACUGGUUUCAAUCCAAAUUUUCAGUCUGUUAUUCACAUUAAAAAAGAUAUGCACAUAUAUUAGCAUCAAAAUAAUUAACCACCACAGCAUCUGUGCCAAGGGCAGAAUGAAUGGGCCAUUUUAAAUGCAUUGUCCACUCACGCCUAAAGGUGACCCUCUGCAGUAAUUCUGAAGCUUGCUCCUGGAUGAUCUGGCUGGCUUGGAGCAAGAGUCUGACUUGCUGAUUUCUGGGAUAAAUAAUGGAUUAUUCAAAACCAGAACCCAAAGGGGAAAAAUAUAUACGGCUAUCUGUUCUUUAUUUUUGAGCAAGGAUAUCCUUUAUCCAAAAGAAUGACUUAAAGCAGCUACAUGGUUGCACAUAAUAAUACGACUUCCUAAAGAGGUUUAAAAUAAAAACAAAACAAUAAGGCAAAGAGAAAAGUACACGAAAAUUAGAGGGUGCCAGGUGGGAGACGGGUCUUAAAAAAUCAUGUCCUAUAUAGUCCUAGAUAUUUUCUAGCAUAAAAUGUGAAGAGGAAAACAUGAUUAGUUACAAGAGCCCGCUUUUAUAUAGCAAGUGCAAACACAGAGAGGGGGAAAAAAAACCCUGCCCUAUAGGGGGUCAUGAGAGGAGUUUCCCCUUGAAGCGGUGGCGUUUCAGGGAUGGAAGCGAAUGACAGUCUCUGCUCCUCCUUCUUGCAGGUGGACUUCCCACCUCUCUCCCUUUUGUCUUCCCUCACCAAGUCUCUUCCUCAUAUUAAUGAAAAUAAUGCUAGUGCGUGUUUUCCAAGCCCUGACUGCGAGGCAGGCAGGCAGGUGCUGUGCUAAUCUCUCGCUCGCUGUAUCUCAGUAUAUCCGGACAACAAACUUCUGACCGGCUGGCAGAAACGAUUGCCGGUUCCCAGAUGAAGGUUGGCUUGAGGCAGGAGUGACAGAGCCAGAGGAUUAGUGGAUCUGUGGAAUGCCAGCUGCCUGUCCUUAUCUGCUGCAAUAUACAGCUUUUAAAGAAGGGCCUGAAAGAUAACUAAGAAAACAUCUCCUGGUAGCUUCUAUUUAGGGGCAUAUAUCCUUAAAGCAUUUCCCCAAAGGUCUGGACUGUUUCUGCUGAUUCCUUCAGGAAAGUGAGAUGAUAACCUGGCUAACAGGUCAUGGGUGGGAUCAUCAAAGUUUGUUGUGUAUAGUGUUUUUUUUUUGUUUGUUGUUUUCAUGAAAUGAAAGCCCUAAAGUAGACUUUGAGAGUCC